AGUUCACGAUAAAAUUCACGAUUUCGUAUAUUUUAUCGUGAACUUUAUCUUAAACUUUUUUCUCCUGGCUUGGGCGCUUCGUAAACAAAACCAGCCCUAGCUUGAUUGACAUGAAUUUGAAGACGAUUAAAUAUUAUGACGAGACGUUUUUACGAUGAUUUCUGUGAAAAUGAUUACCUGGUUGGCAUUCAUGCAAGCAAGCCCUACAACUUGUAGUACAACUGCCAUGUAUCAACACUCCAUACAAACCAGCUCAGGAUGAUGGGAACUAAGCUGAAUUACUUUACCAGAUUGCAUCUUACGGUAGCAGGGUAUUCAUGGAGCAUUAUCGAGAUGGCAUCAGGAAGAGAGUGUUCGGCAGGUGAAGCGCAUUUGUAGAAUCCUCAGACUUCGACGCCACUGCCCAGAAUCAUCUGAGCAUGACAUUGCCCGAGCUAUUUGUCCGAUGCCCUCUCGCCUUAUCCUUGCUGAUCACACUGUCCAACACUGCAAUGUCAUCAAGCUGCUCGGAGUGUUUAUGCAGUCCAAUAUCAAAUGGGACACUCAUGAUUGAUGUCCCAUUUGCAGGCCAAAACAAAUGAAAAGGUUAAAUUCCAUGACAUUUGAAAGAUAAUACUAAUUUAGAAUUGCCCUAAAGAAAGUUGGGCUUGAAAAAGUCUUCAAAUGGGCCAAUAAGUAACAGUCUUGAUGUUCAGACC
rnacentral:lncRNA from 1 species